CCUACGGGGGGCAGCAGUGGGGAAUAUUGGACAAUGGGCGAAAGCCUGAUCCAGCCAUGCCGCGUGUGUGAAGAAGGCCUUCGGGUUGUAAAGCACUUUCAGUGGGGAAGAAAGCCUUGGGGCUAAUACCCUCGAGGAAGGACAUCACCAACAGAAGAAGCACCGGCUAACUCCGUGCCAGCAGCCGCGGUAAUACGGAGGGUGCGAGCGUUAAUCGGAAUUACUGGGCGUAAAGCGCGCGUAGGCGGUCUGAUAAGCCGGUUGUGAAAGCCCCGGGCUCAACCUGGGAACGGCAUCCGGAACUGUCAGGCUAGAGUGCAGGAGAGGAAGGUGGAAUUCCCGGUGUAGCGGUGAAAUGCGUAGAGAUCGGGAGGAAUACCAGUGGCGAAGGCGGCCUUCUGGACUGACACUGACGCUGAGGUGCGAAAGCGUGGGUAGCAAACAGGAUUAGAUACCCCUGUAGUC
rnacentral:rRNA from 1 species